rnacentral:rRNA from 1 species
GAUGGAGGAGGCAAGCGUUAUCCGGAAUUAUUGGGCGUAAAGGGUACGUAGGCGGCUGGUCAAGUCUGGGGUCAAAGGCCACAGCUCAACUGUGGGAAGGCCCUGGAAACGGGCCGGCUAGAGUGAGGUAGGGGUUGCGGGAAUUCCCGGUGUAGCGGUGAAAUGCGUAGAGAUCGGGAAGAACACCUGAGGCGGAAGCGCGCAACUGGGCCUCAACUGACGCUGAGGUACGAAAGCUAGGGGAGCUAAUGGG